GGAGGAAAGCAGGGGAUCGCAAGACCUUGCGCUCAUUGAGCGGCCGAUGCCUGAUUAGCUAGUUGGUGAGGUAAAGGCUUACCAAGGCGACGAUCAGUAGCUGGUCUGAGAGGACGACCAGCCACACUGGGACUGAGACACGGCCCAGACUCCUACGGGAGGCAGCAGUGGGGAAUUUUGGACAAUGGGGGAAACCCUGAUCCAGCCAUGCCGCGUGAGUGAAGAAGGCCUUCGGGUUGUAAAGCUCUUUCAGCCGGAACGAAACGGUCACGGCUAAUACCUGUGACUACUGACGGUACCGGAAGAAGAAGCACCGGCUAACUACGUGCCAGCAGCCGCGGUAAUACGUAGGGUGCGAGCGUUAAUCGGAAUUACUGGGCGUAAAGCGUGCGCAGGCGGUUUUGUAAGUCAGAAGUGAAAUCCCCGGGCUUAACCUGGGAACUGCGUUUGAAAAUAGAAAGCUAGAAGGGC
rnacentral:rRNA from 1 species